GACGAACGCUGGCGGCGUGCUUAACACAUGCAAGUCGAACGGAAAGGCCCUGCUUUUGUGGGGUGCUCGAGUGGCGAACGGGUGAGUAACACGUGAGUAACCUGCCCUUGACUUUGGGAUAACUUCAGGAAACUGGGGCUAAUACCGGAUAGGAGCUCCUGCUGCAUGGUGGGGGUUGGAAUGUUUCGGCGGUUGGGGAUGGACUCGCGGCUUAUCAGCUUGUUGGUGGGGUAGUGGCUUACCAAGGCUUUGACGGGUAGCCGGCCUGAGAGGGUGAGCGGCCACAUUAGGACGGAGAUACGGCCCAGACUCCUACGGGAGGCAGCAGUGGGGAAUAUUGCACGAGGGGCGGAAGCCUGAUGCAGCAACGCCGCGUGCGGGAUGACGGCCUGCGGGUUGUAAACCGCUUUCGCCUGUGACGAAGCGUGAGUGACGGUAAUGGGUAAAGAAGCACCGGCUAACUACGUG
rnacentral:rRNA from 1 species